CUCCACCUUUGGGCAAGAUGGCUGCGCCCACUGGCUUUGCCGGGAGGGAGGGGCUGCUAUUCUCACGCGCCGAUCUGGAUUCAGAUCAGUUCUGUUCUCUGGUCUCCCGAGGCCCUGGGUUUAUGGGGUCCCCACGGACGGAAGCUUUCCCCCCAUCAGUGGGUUUCCACUGAACCAGCGGCAGGAGUCCUGGAUGAUCCCCCGGUCGCGCGGCCCCUCCCCCACUCCUUCGUGACCCACGCCGCAGCCAUCGCAGACUCUAGGGGAGGGAGCAAUGUUCUCUCCUAUCGUUCCAGCACCUCCAAGGCCAAAAUAACACAUUGGUUAUAGACGAAGCUCUCCGUGUGCCCUUUCCAGACUCCACUUCCCUCUCUCCUCCUCCUAUGAUCUGGCUCCUGAACUUGGUGGCCCUCCUGAUCUGCCUGGAAAUGGAUUUGUUAACUUGGAAUGCCAUCACCAAGAUUUAACGUAAGAAAAGUUCAUUUUCUUGGCCGUGGAAGUCAAAUAAACCCCAAAUCGAAAGAUAUAAGCAGGGUGUAUGUUUUCACGUGUUAAGACAUCUUCCAUAGCUCAAGGGGAAAUUCAUGAAAGAUCUCAAGACUCUGAGCUUCCCUGGUAAAGAGGACAGGGCGUGUAAGUCACGGCCAAGGCUCCAGACGCCGCUACAUGAGGCGGCACCUGCGGAAAACCCGACUGAAGCGUUAACAGAACACAGCAUCUGUGCUUCGCUUUCCUAAACUCUAAUAAAAAUAAUGCUUCGUGCCUCC
rnacentral:lncRNA from 1 species